rnacentral:ncRNA from 16 species
CUAGGCUAAAGCUCUCAGGGUGCCGUCCUCGCAAGGGGCCGGAGAAUUGGGAAGCCGGUGCAAGUCCGGCGCUGCCCCCGCAACGGUAAGGAGGGGUGGUUGGGCGAUAUGCCACUGGGCCGCGAGGCCUGGGAAGGUAGCCCGAUCACAGGCCAGAUGGCCGUCCACCAAGCCCGGAAACCAGCCAUGAGACAACGUCAGAAC